GAACCGUGGAUGACCGGCCGUGGCGGCUCAUAAGCUAACACACUCGGCUGCUGGGUGAAUGUUCGCGCGUUUAAUUUGUCGCUGUUAUGACGGAGUUCGCACUUGUGAGGGUUGCCAGAUAAUACGCCACGCAAGGUCCCACGGUGGCGAAAGUGAGACUCGGGUGUUAGCCUUCCAAGCACGGCGGGAUAAAAUGUAUACUCAGGGAAGAAGUCACGAAUGCCAAGCGCAUUAUUUGUUGUGGCAUGAAGGCCUGCAGCACAUCGUCUGUCGCUGUGCAACGGCUUUGCCUGCAGAUGUCACAUGUCCCGCAGAAGCCGUACGGGCUGGAAUUCAUUUGUGGCCGGGAACGUUCCGUCAAGGGCCACUGUAGCUGCAAUGCUUGGUCGCGUGUUGCCGCACGGGGUGCAGCCCGGAAUGGAAACACAUGCGUUUCUGGCGAGACAACGGCGAUCACACUGCGGGCUUCUGCCGGUGAAACACGGUCAAACACUGCGCCCGCCUAUCUACUGUAGCAUUCAUCUGAAGCUGCUGCAACUUGUGCGUAGAUCGAGCUUGGCCGCGUGGCGGAGCACGGAAUGCAGCGAGAAGGAAAACAUGCGCUGCGAAACACCGUGGCAACCACACACUUUGAGUUGAUGCAGGCGAAACCUAAGCAAAUGCUUCCGACGCUCCCCUACGUACGGCAUAUACACGGGAUCAAAGCCACGCCAUUGUUCGCACUGCUGCCAAUACACUGUCGCAAGCUCUAUUUUUCUAACGCAUCGACUCUCCGUAGAAAAACAAAUAAAAUAAUCUAGAUAAGCAAAGAACUUUCGUUUUCUUAACUGCGUGGCUCCAGAAGAAGUCACUGCUGAUGAAAUGCGCACUGCACUUUCAUCGGUCGUGUGACUGGCUUGCCGAUUUGGCAACUUGACAACCCAGACUUUCUUCUUUGUCGCAUCUUAAGGGGGACGAGUCCAGGCUCACUUCACUUGCCACAGCUCCGUUGGUGGAUUACGGCACACAGCAUAUACGAUCUUGCACAAACGAUGCGUAAGAACAAAUAAAGCCUACUGGCCUCCCCGAAGAAAGCAAGCAAAUGCGCUGACGCCACGCCGCCUACGGUUACUCGAAUACUCUUGUAAAAAAAAUUCGCCGAUGGCCGCUGGGCGGCAGGAAAGUCUACGGAACUUACGAAUUAUCUGGGCGCAGUUUUCUGUAAUAUCGUUUUAUAGCAAGCAAGAACAUUAUGACUAACUUAAAGAAGAGCGAGAAUCAGUAAUAAAUUAACCGCCCGUAAUUUAUGCAUCUGUUCCGCAGCUGCCGUUGUUAAAGUGGUUAGGCCGCUAAUAUUGACACGUCUCGGGAUGAAACUACACGGCUCAUAUGCGCAGAUAGAUAUGUCCUAUAUGUAUAUGCACAUAUAUGUAUAUGCAUGUCGUUAUUUCCUGUCUGCGGUGCACAUUUUCCGCAAUAUUUGACGCUAGCAACAAUCUGUGACCCUAAAUUUUGACGUGAGCAAGCGCACCGCUUUGGUAAAUCCGACGCGGAAGGCUGCGCUCGAAGACUUACACCGACUACACUGACACUUACACUGACUUACACGUAAUGACACUGACUUACACUGACUCACGCAGUAGUCGGCGAGCAUGGCAUGGCUUCCGGGAAUGACAUGCUGCCAUGGAGAAGCCAUUAAUAAUUACUUGCGAUCCACAGAACACACAACCAACGCGCACUC